rnacentral:tRNA from 1 species
GGCGGCCUUGGCCAGAUCGAUGCUGUGGUGGGUGUCGUUGGUGCCGACGCCGGCCACGAUGUGGGCCCGGUCUCCGACGGCCUCCA